GCACCUGUAAAGGAUUGGGAUUACAUUUUAGAUUAGUUUAUUUUAGUAUAUUGCUUUAGAAUUUAUAAAGCGAGCUAGGCUCUUGUUUGACUUAAAUAAGUAUAUUGCAAACAUAUAAAACAUUAAUCAUGUCCGCUCGUCUGCUAAAAGCGGUUCAUUUUCAUAGAAACUGCAAAUUCAAACUUGACACAGAAAGUGUCAUGAGUUUAUCGUUUAUCGUUUUGGAAGUCACUUCUCUAAGAUGAGGGAGUAUGGAGUUGGUUGCCGCUCAUCUUUUAACAGUCCAAACUAUCGGACAAUAUAUUUUAAAAAUUCUUAUUGGAACUUCAAUAUCACGUGAUUCAAGGCAGGCGAUCAGCUAGUCAGGCAUGCAGGAUUAGCACAAAGUUAUGGAACAGCUGAGGCGCGGGCUAACCUUCGAGUAGGGGCACAUUCCUCAACCGUUCGCCGCACAAUUUGUGAUAACGUUGCAGAAAAUCAUUCACAGUAAUGGGUAUUGCACACUCAGCGACAGCUAUUUCGGCUGAUCGUCGUUCCGUAGUGCCCAUUACUCUGAACCGCACAGCCUCUGGAUAUGGUCGACCAUAUGCGCCCGCUAUUUGUCGGGUAAUCUCCUCGUAUAUGCGCUCAGUGUCUGAAAUAGGGCGAAUGUGAAAUUACAAAUUAGUACCUGGCAUUAAUUGUGAAUCGACCAUGAGGGCGCGUGCAUUGUCCGAUUGUUGUUUGGCGUACUCUUCCCAAGAUAACGGCAGAUCGUACUCUUUAAUCAUAAACUCGGCCAUCUGACGCGUCUGCAAACCCAUUAUCUGUUGCUUCACAUCGAACGUGUAUGUCUUUCCAUAAGGGUCGAGCACCAUUUGGGCGGCCUUCGUGUAGAGAACCUCGGUGUCUGGUUAGAAGCAUGUGUAAACUAUAAAAUAUCGAUAGCUCUUUGAUACUUACCCAACAACAGGCCAUCCAUAUCGAAGAUGCAGUGCGUCACAUUUCGCAAUAUCUUUUGAGCCAUCUUUCCACUUUCCUAUUGCUCGUUAUGUAACGUAGUAAUUGUGCUUGAUUUGCAACUGGCAGUUAACAGACACCUGUAAACAAAAGAUACAACAUUUACAACAAAGUUUCCGUUACCGGUAGCUUUCUCUGAAAAGUUUAUUGUUUGCCCUUUUAAUGUUUUAUUGCGUUAAUUACGUUCGUCCUUCAGUCAAGGACAGCCAUAGUACAUAGGAAAUGUAACAAACAAAUCGAUCUACCUUGACCGACACGCAACUCUCUAUCUAUUUAUCUCUGUAGCGUCCGAAGUAAACACAACCGCUCAGCCAAACGAGACGCGAAAAUCUGACUGCACUUGCGAAAUUUGCGUUCAAUAUGCUGAAGAGUAGCGACGAGGUUGCCAGACUUUUUGGCUUAUGACAAAUUAAAAAUUUUCCGUGUUGCAUACCCUGUAGUGUCUCAAUAAUAUUAGAUAGAGUAUAUGUGUUCGUAACAAAUAUGCAUUUGAUAUAUUUAAAUACAAGUAAUAUAAUUUUGGUUAAAUAAAUAGAUUCGUAAAAUACAA